GACGAACGCUGGCGGCGUGCUUAACACAUGCAAGUCGAACGGUGAAGCGCCUUCCUUUUUGGUGGGUGUGGAUGAGUGGCGAACGGGUGAGUAACACGUGAGUAACCUGCCCCCUUCUUCUGGAUAACCGCAUGAAAGUGUGGCUAAUACGGGAUAUUCUGGGUCUGUCGCAUGAUGGGUCUGGGAAAGAUAUUGUUUCGGUGGGGGAUGGGCUCGCGGCCUAUCAGCUUGUUGGUGGGGUGAUGGCCUACCAAGGCGGUGACGGGUAGCCGGCCUGAGAGGGUCGACGGUCACACUGGGACUGAGACACGGCCCAGACUCCGACGGGAGGCAGCAGUGGGGAAUACUGCACAAUGGGCGCAAGCCUGAUGCAGCGACGCCGCGUGAGGGAUGGAGGCCUUCGGGUUGUGAACCUCUUUCGCCAGUGAAGCAGGCCUGCCUCGUUUGUGGGUGGGUUGACGGUAGCUGGAUAAGAAGCGCCGGCUAACUACGUG
rnacentral:rRNA from 1 species